rnacentral:rRNA from 1 species
UACGUAGGUCCCGAGCGUUGUCCGGAUUUAUUGGGCGUAAAGCGAGCGCAGGUGGUUUAUUAAGUCUGGUGUAAAAGGCAGUGGCUCAACCAUUGUAUGCAUUGGAAACUGGUAGACUUGAGUGCAGGAGAGUGGAAUUCCAUGUGUAGCGGUGAAAUGCGUAGAUAUAUGGAGGAACACCGGUGGCGAAAGCGGCUCUCUGGCCUGUAACUGACACUGAGGCUCGAAAGCGUGGGGAGCAAACAGG